CUAAGCCUAAAAACUGUUCUGGGUUCCCUGGAACAACACUUAAAAGCAAGUCACAAAAGGAUGAAAAUAUCCAUUCAUGAGAAAAGCAUAACUUCGAUUCACCAUUUCGCUGAGGCAUCCAAUGACUACUGCUGUUCCAGGGGCUCAGAGUGACCCAGAAGAGGUGCUCAGUUUCCUAUACUUAUUACUUGGACGGGAAUCAUGAUUCUAAUACACACUUGAGAUGAAAUACACCUCCAAGAGCAGAGAUUUUACAAAUGUAUAUGGUGUUGUCCUGAUAUUCUAGGACCAUACAGAGCUGUUUCAUUGAAAUAUCAAGCAUCAUUUGGAUACAUUGAAAAGGUAAAAAUAAAGAAGAAACAUUUUUCUCCAGAAACGCUGCAUUUUCUAGUCCCUUGACUCCAAAUGCAUAGUAGCUGUCAUUGUUACCUUCUCACGAGACCCAGGCAGCACCUGAGGCAGAUGAAGAAACUAGUUCCUGAUUAUAUUUUAGGAAAUUGGAAGAUAAAUACAUUUGCCCUAAUAUAAAGGAAGCAAAAAGCAAAAGUUUGGAAA